rnacentral:rRNA from 1 species
ACUAGUCAUGCAAGUCGAACGGUCUUUCUAUGGAAGCUUGCUUCCACUGAGAAGAUAGUGGCGAACGGGUGAGUAACACGUGGGUAACCUGCCCAUAAGAGGGGGAUAACAUCCGGAAACGGGUGCUAAUACCGCAUAGUUUUCUUGAUCGCAUGAUUGAGAAAGGAAAGACGGCCUUUGUGCUGUCGCUUAUGGAUGGACCCGCGGCGUAUUAGUUAGUUGGUGAGGUAAUGGCUCACCAAGACGAUGAUACGUAGCCGACCUGAGAGGGUGAUCGGCCACAUUGGGACUGAGACACGGCCCAAACUCCUACGGGAGGCAGCAGUAGGGAAUCUUCCGCAAUGGACGAAAGUCUGACGGAGCAACGCCGCGUGAGUGAAGAAAGGUUUUCGGAUCGUAAAACUCUGUUGUCAGAGAAGAACAAGUUGGAGAGUAACUGCUCCAGCCUUGACGGUAUCUGACCAGAAAGCCACGGCUAACUACGUGCCAGCCGCGGC